UGGGGAAUAUUGCACAAUGGGCGCAAGCCUGAUGCAGCAACGCCGCGUGAGGGACGACGGCCUUCGGGUUGUAAACCUCUUUUAGCAGGGAAGAAGCGAAAGUGACGGUACCUGCAGAAAAAGCGCCGGCUAACUACGUGCCAGCAGCCGCGGUAAUACGUAGGGCGCAAGCGUUAUCCGGAAUUAUUGGGCGUAAAGAGCUCGUAGGCGGUUUGUCGCGUCUGCUGUGAAAUCCGGAGGCUCAACCUGCGGCCUGCAGUGGGUACGGGCAGACUAGAGUGCGGUAGGGGAGAUUGGAAUUCCUGGUGUAGCGGUGGAAUGCGCAGAUAUCAGGAGGAACACCGAUGGCGAAGGCAGAUCUCUGGGCCGUAACUGACGCUGAGGAGCGAAAGGGUGGGGAGCAAACA
rnacentral:rRNA from 1 species